GACGAACGCUGGCGGCGUGCCUAAUACAUGCAAGUAGAACGCUGAAGGCGGAGCUUGCUUCUCUGGAUGAGUUGCGAACGGGUGAGUCACGCGUAGGUAACCUGCCUGGUAGCGGGGGAUAACUAUUGGAAACGAUAGCUAAUACCGCAUCAGAGUAGAUGUUGCAUGACAUUUGCUUAAAAGGUGCAAUUGCCUCACUACCAGCUGGACCUGCGUUGUAUUAGCUAGUUGGUGAGGUAACGGCUCACCAAGGCGACGAUACAUAGCCGACCUGAGAGGGUGAUCGGCCACACUGGGACUGAGACACGGCCCAGACUCCUACGGGAGGCAGCAGUAGGGAAUCUUCGGCAAGGGACGGAAGUCUGACCGAGCAACGCCGCGUGAGUGAAGAAGGUUUUCGGAUCGUAAAGCUCGGUUGUAAGAGAAGAACGAGUGUGAGAGUGGAAAGUUCACACUGUGACGGUAUCUUACCAGAAAGGGACGGCUAACUACGUG
rnacentral:rRNA from 1 species